GACGAACGCUGGCGGCGUGCCUAAUACAUGCAAGUAGAACGCUGAAGAGAGGAGCUUGCUCUUCUUGGAUGAGUUGCGAACGGGUGAGUAACGCGUAGGUAACCUGCCUUGUAGCGGGGGAUAACUAUUGGAAACGAUAGCUAAUACCGCAUAACAAUGGAUGACACAUGUCAUUUAUUUGAAAGGGGCAAUUGCUCCACUACAAGAUGGACCUGCGUUGUAUUAGCUAGUAGGUGAGGUAAUGGCUCACCUAGGCGACGAUACAUAGCCGACCUGAGAGGGUGAUCAGCCACCCUGGGACUGAGACACGGCCCAGACUCCUACGGGAGGCAGCAGUAGGGAAUCUUCGGGAAUGGGGGCAACCCUGACCGAGCAACGCCGCGUGAGUGAAGAAGGUUUUCGGAUCGUAAAGCUCUGUUGUAAGUCAAGAACGGGUGUGAGAGUGGAAAGUUCACACUGUGACGGUAGCUUACCAGAAAGGGACGGCUAACUACGUG
rnacentral:rRNA from 1 species